GUUCUAUUUCCAAAAUAUUCAGAUCUGCAGUGAACAGAGAGAGCAGAUUUGAGGAGAAUGCAAAGGGAGGAAGAAAGAGAGAGGAGGCGAAUUCGCGACAGACAAAGGAGACAAUCCAUGACUCAAGAACAAAGGGAAAAACAUUUAGCGAGACGCCGAAGAAAUUAUCAGCUCCGAAGACAGAGAGCUGCCAUUGCUUAUGGUCCAUUCGUUCCUCUCCUUCGUCAAAAUCCGUCGUUAGAAUCGAGUGCAGGCGAAGCUAGUACUAGUGACGAGGUUCAAGGGAUCACUUCUUCUACCUUAUUAGACUGCAAUGUACUAUGUCAUGGAACUGGUCUAACUCAACAUGUCCCCAACCAAGGAGUAGAAACAUUAAACUUGGGAAACAAGGUUGAUGAAGGAUCAUUGAGACAUGUGGAAACUCUAGAUCGUAAUCCAGCGAAUUCAUCGAGAAAGUUACGACUAAAUCAUAUUAAAUGUCUUGCGCGAAACGUGAAAUAUUCAAACAGUGAUCCACCUGGUACUCAUCAGGUUGCAGCAGAGUUGAUAACAAAGGAAGAUGUAUCAGCUGGUGAUUAUGGUAGUACUACAAAAUCAUUGCGUUUGAAUUGUAUCAAGCGCCUUGCUCGAUCGAGAAAUUCUCCGCUAAAAGAGAUUAUAGCAGAGAAAAAUCACAAUUUGCAAGCAGGAGGUAUUCAAUUAUAGCUGAGGUGAAAGCAUAUGGUUCAAUUGAAGGUAAAAACUUGUCAUGACUUUUGAUAAGAGCAUUAGUCAAAGCAGCAAUUCUCAGUUAACAACAUCUUCUUUACAUAUGAGCAUGAUCACUGUAAAGAAUUUUACUAGUUGAGGAAAUUAGUGACGAUGAGGUCACAGAUUCAAAUCAUGGAAACAGUUUCUUUACUUGCGGAGGUAAAGUUGCGUACAUCUACCUCCCCAGAUCCUACUAAGUGAAGUG
rnacentral:lncRNA from 1 species